GAUGAACGCUGGCGGCGUGCCUAAUACAUGCAAGUCGAGCGAACGGACGAGAAGCUUGCUUCUCUGAUGUUAGCGGCGGACGGGUGAGUAACACGUGUAUAACCUACCUAUAAGACUGGGAUAACUUCGGGAAACCGGAGCUAAUACCGGAUAAUAUUUUGAACCGCAUGGUUCAAAAGUAAAAGACGGUCUUGCUGUCACUUAUAGAUGGAUCCGCGCUGCAUUAGCUAGUUGGUAAGGUAACGGCUUACCAAGGCAACGAUGCAUAGCCGACCUGAGAGGGUGAUCGGCCACACUGGAACUGAGACACGGUCCAGACUCCUACGGGAGGCAGCAGUAGGGAAUCUUCCGCAAUGGGCGAAAGCCUGACGGAGCAACGCCGCGUGAGUGAUGAAGGUCUUCGGAUCGUAAAACUCUGUUAUUAGGGAAGAACAUAUGUGUAAGUAACUGUGCACAUCUUGACGGUACCUAAUCAGAAAGCCACGGCUAACUACGUG
rnacentral:rRNA from 1 species